GCUGUGGAUGGGUUGAGGUGGAUGUAGAUCGGCGGAUCGGUGGAUCUGAGGAUGUGGAUGUGGAUGUGGACCCAUGUGUCUGGACAAUGGAAAGGUUCGGCGACCGCUGCACGCAGCCAGAGCUCGCCCGUUGCCACUGGCGGGUCAUUAAAAUGUACAGAUCGAGCGAGGAGUCAACGGCCGGCGGAUCUAUUUUAGCGCAUGCCAUUGGCCCUGAACUUGUUUGUCCAGCCUCGCGGGCCCUUUCCACUUCCACUUCCUUUCCCACUCGCUAAUCGCCAUUCCUUUCCAGAAGUUGCAGUGCCGCCAUGACUCAGACCGCUCUCCGUCAGCUGGAAAUCCCCAGGCACAGGCAUUUCUACAGAGUGCUGCCUGUAUUGCCCGUAUGGCCAAAAUGCCUGGCCAAAAAGAACAUCGAUAAUAAAUUGACAUUCUUGAAAAUA